rnacentral:rRNA from 1 species
AACGCUAGCUACAGGCUUAACACAUGCAAGUCGAGGGGCAGCAUAAAAGUAGCAAUACUUUGGUGGCGACCGGCGCACGGGUGAGUAACGCGUAUGCAACCUACCUAUCAGAGGGGGAUAACCCGGCGAAAGUCGGACUAAUACCGCAUAAAACAGGGGCACCGCAUGGUGAUAUUUGUUAAAAAUUUAUUGCUGAUAGAUGGGCAUGCGUUCCAUUAGGUAGUUGGAGAGGUAACGGCUCACCAAGCCUACGAUGGAUAGGGGAACUGAGAGGUUGGUCCCCCACACUGGUACCGAGACACGGACCAGACUCCUACGGGAGGCAGCAGUGAGGAAUAUUGGUCAAUGGGCGAGAGCCUGAACCAGCCAAGUCGCGUGAAGGAAGAAGGAUCUAUGGUUCGUAAACUUCUUUUGCAGGGGAAUAAAGUGCAGGACGUGUCCUGUUUUGUAUGUACCCUGAGAAUAAGGAUCGGCUAACUCCGUGCCAGCAGCCGCGGUAAUACGGAGGAUCCGAGCGUUAUCCGGAUUUAUUGGGUUUAAAGGGUGCGUAGGUGGUUUAAUAAGUCAGCGGUGAAAGUUUGCAGCUUAACUGUAAAAAUGCCGUUGAAACUGUUAGACUUGAGUGUAAAUGAGGUAGGCGGAAUGCGUGGUGUAGCGGUGAAAUGCUUAGAUAUCACGAAGAACUCCGAUUG